rnacentral:rRNA from 1 species
ACCCCGCGGGGGUAACACCACCGGCUGCGUGAGAGGAUACCCCCGGUGAACCCUCAAAUUCUCCCGGGAACACAGGGGUAUUACUCAACAGGGGACACCCAUGACCCCCCCCGGGGAGAGAAGAAGAAGAGGAGGGAGAAACCCCUACAGAGAGAAAAGCUCCCGGUCCCUUGGAAGAAACACCCCCCGGCAAUCCCCGGCCCAAGACCCCUGUAAAAACCGGGAGGGCCCAAACCUUAACUGGGGAAACCACGGGGCUUAAAACGACAAUUAACCGGUUGUUAAAAGCUAGAAAGUGAAAACCCUACCGGCUUCAACCCCGGGAACACCUUCUAAAACCGGAAAACCAGAAUCCGGGAGAGGAAAAGGAAAUAAUAACAAAGAGGUAAAACCCGUAGAGAUUCACCAGGAAUCCCGAAAACCCGAAAGCCGAUCUUCGGAAACAGGACUGACCCUUGAGAUCCGAAAACCUUGGGGACCAAAACAGGAUAGAUACCCUGGUAAGUCCACGCCCUAAACGAUGAAUGUUAGUCGUUGGAGUGCUAGCCACUUCAGUGAUGCAGCUAACGCAUUAAACAUUCCGCCUGGGGAGUACGGCCGCAAGGUUAAAACUCAAAGGAAUAGACGGGGACCCGCACAAGUGGUGGAGCAUGUGGUUUAAUUCGAAGAUACGCGAAGAACCUUACCUGGCCUUGACAUAUACCAGAAUCUGCCAGAGAUGGUGGAUGCCUUCGGGAGCUGGUAUACAGGUGCUGCACGGCUGUCGUCAGCUCGUGUCGUGAGAUGUUGGUUAAGUCCCGCAACGAGCGCAACCCUCGUGACUAGUUACUAACAGCAUAGGCUGAGGACUCUAGUCAGACGCCUUCGUAAGGAGGAGGAAGGUGAGGACGACGUCAAGUCAUCAUGGCCCUUACGGCCAGGGCGACACACGUGCUACAAUGGGAAGGACAAAGAGAAGCAAAACUGUGAGGUGGAGCAAAUCUAUAAACCUUCUCUCAGUUCGGAUUGCAGUCUGCAACUCGACUGCAUGAAGCUGGAAUCACUAGUAAUCGUGAAUCAGCCAUGUCACGGUGAAUACGUUCCCGGGUCUUGUACUCACCGCCCGUCACACCAUGGGAGUUGAUUUCAC